GGGCAGGCAGAUUUGAAUUCAGGACUCCUACCUUCCAGAUCCAGACUAACACGGCUACCCCUCUGAUACUUAACAGAAGAUUGAAAGCUUUGAUGGUUAUGUGACUGCCGUGGUCAGCACACAGUGGACCUUUGUUAAUAGUCUUCAUCUCAAGAAGACCUGCAAAGAAGAUUCCCAGGGAGACUUGGUAUUCUAUUUAAGAAGUGGGGGAGAAGGAAUUAUGGAACGGUUUACAAGAAACAUAAGGACAUUCCUCUUUUGUUCCCAGAUCGGUGGAGGAGCAGGUGUGCCAAGGAAAUGUCUGCUUGGGAGGGAAUGGGAGAAGACGUCAGUGGAUGCAGUGCUUUCUUUAACCAGAUCAUCCUUUUUGUUGUACAUACAUAAAAUUUCAAAUAAACCUUAUCGUAGGCUGUUUGCUUCCAAA